rnacentral:rRNA from 1 species
GAUGAACGCUAGCGGCAGGCUUAAUACAUGCAAGUCGAGGGACAGCACAGGUAGCAAUACUGGGUGGUAACCGGCAAACGGGUGCGGAACACGUACACAACCUUCCUUUAAGAGGGGGAUAGCCCAGAGAAAUUUGGAUUAAUACCCCGUAAUAUAGUUGAAUGGCAUCAUUUGAUUAUUAUAGCUACGGCGCUUAAUGAUGGGUGUGCGGCUGAUUAGAUAGUUGGCGUGGUAACGGCCCACCAAGUCUACGAUCAGUAGCUGAUGUGAGAGCAUGAUCAGCCACCCGGGCACUGAGACACGGGCCCGACUCCUACGGUAGGCAGCAGUAAGGAAUAUUGGUCAAUGGACGCAAGUCUGAACCAGCCAUGCCGCGUGAAGGAUUAAGGUCCUCUGGAUUGUAAACUUCUUUUAUUUGGGACGAAAAAGGGCCUUUCUAGGUCAACUGACGGUACCAGAUGAAUAAGCACCGGCUAACUCCGUGCCAGCCGCCGCGGUAAAAC